rnacentral:rRNA from 1 species
AAACUGAAGAGUUUGAUCAUGGCUCAGAUUGAACGCUGGCGGCAGGCCUAACACAUGCAAGUCGAGCGGAAACGAUCCUAGC